GGCACGAUGGCAGAGUGGUCUAAUGCGCCAGAUUCGAAAUCUGGUGGGCUUCGCCCGCGCAGGUUCAAAUCCUGCUCGUGUCG